rnacentral:rRNA from 1 species
UACAGGGGGUGCAAACGUUGCUCGGAAUCAUUGGGCGUAAAGCGCACGUAGGCGGUUUGUUAUGUCGGAUGUGAAAGCCCUUGGCUCAACUGAGGAAGUGCAUCCGAAACUGGCAAGCUAGAGUACUAAAGAGGAUCGCGGAAUUCCCGGUGUAGAGGUGAAAUUCGUAGAUAUCGGGAAGAACACCGGUGGCGAAGGCGGCCUGCUGGGCAGUUUAGCUGACACUGAGGCGCGACAGCGUGGGGAGCAAACAGG